rnacentral:snoRNA from 1 species
UACACCAAUGAUAAGAAUGUAUGAUGAACAUAGAUUGUGAUUAAUCCAAUUGUAUGCAUAUGAGAUCCAAA